GGUUAGCAUGUAAAAGUGCCCCCAAAGGAACUAAAGCAUAUGAUACAUCAUUCGAAAGGUCUUGGCCUAGAACUACUUUUAGUGUAGUAUCAAACUCCAUAAUGGAGUUAUAGUGGAGUUAUUGACGAAAAUGUGAAUUUUGUUUUUCAUUUAUUUCUCUCUAGUGGGUUGACGUAAAAAUCUGUAAAAAUUCUCAAAAAAUGUCUGUAGGAAGGGGUGAGUUUUGUCCAUAAUUUAUAUCUCCCGUUGGCUGUAACUUAAAAUUCUGAAAAAAUUCUCAAAAAAUGUCUGUAUGGAGAGUAACAUCUGUGAUUAUUUGCAGAAUUUUUGGACACCUCCUUUGGGGUUAAAAAAUUAACUCAAAAAUUGUUUCGAAAAAUUGAAUAUGUUCCACCAUUUUGAAAAAUCUGAAAAAAUUAUGCAAAAUACAUGUUCAUAAGACCAAUCAAUGGUCAAAAUACCGAGUUAGUUCUGUACCUCCAAC